UACGUAGGGUGCAAGCGUUGUCCGGAAUUAUUGGGCGUAAAGAGCUCGUAGGCGGUCUGUCGCGUCGGCUGUGAAAACCUGGGGCUUAACUCCGGGCCUGCAGCCGAUACGGGCAGACUAGAGUUCGGCAGGGGAGACUGGAAUUCCUGGUGUAGCGGUGAAAUGCGCAGAUAUCAGGAGGAACACCGGUGGCGAAGGCGGGUCUCUGGGCCGAUACUGACGCUGAGGCACGAAAGCGUGGGGAGCAAACAGG
rnacentral:rRNA from 1 species